rnacentral:rRNA from 1 species
UGGGGAAUAUUGCACAAUGGGCGCAAGCCUGAUGCAGCCAUGCCGCGUGUAUGAAGAAGGCCUUCGGGUUGUAAAGUACUUUCAGCGGGGAGGAAGGGAGUAAAGUUAAUACCUUUGCUCAUUGACGUUACCCGCAGAAGAAGCACCGGCUAACUCCGUGCCAGCAGCCGCGGUAAUACGGAAGGUGCAAGCGUUAAUCGGAAUUACUGAGCGUAAAGCGCACGCAGGCGGUUUGUUAAGUCAGAUGUGAAAUCCUCGGGCUCAACCUGGGAACUGCAUCUGAUACUGGCAAGCUUGAGUCUAGUAGAGAGGGGUAGAAUUCCAGGUGUAGCGGUGAAAUGCGUAGAGAUCUGGAGGAAUAACGGUGGCGAAGGCGGCCCCCUGGACGAAGACUGACGCUCAGGUGCGAAAGCGUGGGGAGCAAACAGG